rnacentral:rRNA from 1 species
UUCUAUCACCUGAUGGAAAGUUGAAAGGCGGCUUUUGCUGUCACUUACAGAUGGGCCUGCGGCGCAUUAGCUAGUUGGUGAGGUAACGGCUCACCAAGGCGACGAUGCGUAGCCGACCUGAGAGGGUGAUCGGCCACACUGGGACUGAGACACGGCCCAGACUCCUACGGGAGGCAGCAGUAGGGAAUCUUCCGCAAUGGACGAAAGUCUGACGGAGCAACGCCGCGUGAGUGAUGAAGGUUUUCGGAUCGUAAAACUCUGUUGUCGGGGAAGAACAAGUAUGAUAGUAACUGAUCGUACCUUGACGGUACCCGACCAGAAAGCCACGGCUAACUACGUGCCAGCAGCCGCGGUAAUACGUAGGUGGCAAGCGUUGUCCGGAAUUAUUGGGCGUAAAGCGCUCGCAGGCGGUUCUUUAAGUCUGAUGUGAGAUCUUGCGGCUCAACCGCAAACGUGCAUUGGAAACUGGAGGACUUGAGUGCAGAAGAGGAGAGUGGAAUUCCACGUGUAGCGGUGAAAUGCGUAAAGAUGUGGAGGAACACCAGUGGCGAAGGCGACUCUCUGGUCUGUAACUGACGCUAAGGAGCGAAAGCGUGGGGAGCGAACAGGAUUAGAUACCCUGGUAGUCCACGCCGUAAACGAUGAGUGCUAGGUGUUAGGGGGUUUCCGCCCCUUAGUGCUGAAGUUAACGCAUUAAGCACUCCGCCUGGGGAGUACGGCCGCAAGGCUGAAACUCAAAAGAAUUGACGGGGACCCGCACAACUGUGGAGCAUGUGGUUUAAUUCCAAGCAACGCGAAGA